GAUAUCACCGUAUCCACCAAUCUGAGGGCGAGACUAACCACCAGCGCCUGGUUCCAGACCCUGCUUAGCCUCCCACAUAGGACGAGGUUUCAUUCUUGCCUCUAUAUCUGCUGCGACUUAAGAACAUGAAUGAGCUCGGGACCAGAGCACUGGAUUCAAAUCCUGUCUCCAUCAUACAGUGCUGUGAACUUAGGCAAUUGGUUUUUUUUUUAUUAGGCAUCUAAGCAACUUCUUUGUGAUUGUCAGUGAGAAGGCUCUGAGACAGACAUCCUUCUCUCCUGUUAUUCUGGAUGCUACAGAAUAAAAGAAGUCCUGGAUCUUGAGGAAGAAAAUGACUCAUGAGCAAACUGACUAUAAUACUUUGGCCAGCAGAGGAUUCCACGUACUAUUAUUCGGGAACAACAGACAUACAUGGUGAAAGGCAAUUGGUGUGGAGCUUUCUUCCACUCUGGGGGCAAUUGCAGGAUGCCCAGGGUAACUCCCUCUCUUGGCUUUUUCUCAGUUCUUUUCUUUGUCUUCUGGGUGCUUUCUCAGGUUGGGUCCUGGAAGGGCACCUCCCCUUCACCUCUUUUUCUCUGCAUCCCGUUUGGUGUCUCUGAAUCCUAUCCAAAGGCUGGUUGUCACAGCUGAUUCUUUGUGGAGGUGGCUCCUUCUCCCAUUGUCUAGGCUGUGACUAGACAAUGAUUACUUGUUAUAAAUCUCAUUCCAUGUGCACUCUCUUCUCCUCAUAGUCUUGUCAACUCAAAGGCAGGACAGUGCUAUUCACUUCCUUAAUCUAUCUUUCACCUAUAGACUAGAGAUUGGGGACCAUGCAUUUGCUCCACAGUGAUUUUUGAAGGACAGUUUUGCUGAUAUGGCCCCCAACAUUUACAUGUCUACCAGAAACACUGAAUUGAUAAGAAUUAUUCAUAUAGACCCACAAUGUCAUAACUUUUUUUUCAAUCAGAAAUUAUUUUGUUUGUGUGUUUCAAGAAUGUUCUUUUUUUUUAAAUUUAUUUAAAGUAAAAUACCUUUCAAGGUUUAGAAAUGAAGCCAUUUAACCAUGAAUCUUUGGAGUUUACUCACCGUGUCUAUUUUGAGAAGCCUUUCCAAAAGACGGUUGUGUACCACCAUCUACUAACAAGGGAGUUAGAAUGAAAUGUUCCCCUAACCUUUGAUAUUUGAAGACAGGCUCUUAAAGAUGAAGGGAGGUUCACCUGACUUUGGUCUCUGGGAAAUGGAGGACGAUUUAAACAUCCUUAAAAAAAUAUUUCCUUAUAUUCAGUGCCUUCCUUGAACAAGACUUCAAUUCAUCUCUCUAAGGGUUUCUAUGGUCUCUAUUAGUUUUUAAAAAGGUUUUGCCUUCAUUCUGUAUUAAUUAUUCAUAUUUUAUGUGUGUUUGUGUAGGCAGUCUCUCUCUCUCUCUCUCUCUCUCUCUCUCUCUCUCUCUCUCUGUAUGUGUUACUGUUUUUUUUAACCUAUUCAUAAGUAUCUUAUAGGGGAUGAACUGGUAAGAUCGAAAUUAGAGCUAUUCGCUACUAUUUUCAACACUGUGUAAUGAAAGGUUUGUUGAAGAAAGAGUUUGAAAUUACUGCUUUCCGUGCCAUGUUCUUUGUGAGUAAUUUGAAAAGCAUAUGAAUUAUAUGUUUUAUUCUUUUCUCGGUAAGACAGAAAAUUUUUCUUUUGAAUAAAAUCCUUCAUUAAUUUUUCUGUGUAUAGAGGCCCUCACAG